AGCAGCCGCGGUAAUUCCAGCUCCAAUAGCGUAUAUUAAAGUUGUUGCAGUUAAAAAGCUCGUAGUUGAAUUUCAGGCCUGGCUGGACGGUCCGCCCUUCGGGUGAGUACUGUCUGUGGUCGGGUCCUACCUUCUGGCGAAGCGUCAUGGCCUUAACCGGCCGUGGCGGGGAACCAGGACUUUUACUGUGAAAAAAUUAGAGUGUUCAAAGCAGGCAAUCGCUUGGAUACAUUAGCAUGGAAUAAUGGAAUAGGACAAUGGUUCUAUUUGUUGGUUUCUAGGACCGUUGUAAUGAUUAAUAGGGAUAGUUGGGGGCAUUAGUAUUCGAUUGUCAGAGGUGAAAUUCUUGGAUUUAUUGAAGACUAACUACUGCGAAAGCAUUUGCCAAGGAUGUUUUCAUUAAUCAAGAACGAAAGUUAGGGGAUCGAAGACGAUCAGAUACCGUCGUAGUCUUAACCAUAAACUAUGCCGACUAGGAAUCGGGCGAUGUUGAAAAAAUGACGC
rnacentral:rRNA from 1 species